rnacentral:sRNA from 1 species
GCAAGCUAGUUAUUUGCCCAAUCCCCUUGCCGCCUGAUUGCUUGGCAAUUGUGACUCCGUGGGAACCUGAAAACGAGCCCAACCCGACGUCGCCCUUUCUUGCGCUUUCAGAAUACUUCUCUCACCAAUUCUGCGGCUUCAACUUGGUUUGUGUCUUGGACCAGUUUUUUCCAACACUCUUUCUUUCCUUUCAAAACUGCCAUCAACUCUUACAGUGCGACACUGAACAUGGACUGGGACCAUCUGGCUGAGGAGUCGUCCCGGAAGUUGUUUGCAAAUUGGCUCAAACUCCUGUCACCCGCCAUAGCACUGACACUUGCGGGUCAACACCGCCCUGGCCAUCAAGCCAUCGAAGCUUCAAGUUUCACCACUGGCGCUUUUAAUAUAUGCUGUACCGUCACAUUUGAAGAUGAGUUCCGCGUGGUUGUUCGAUUUCCUAUUCUAGGUCGAAGCCGGUUUCGCACAGAAAAGACUCGGGACGAGGUUUCAGUGAUGGAUUUUCUCUCAAGACGAACGCGGGUUCCUGUUCCUAUUGUUCUUGGUGCAGGUCGCUGGGGAUGCGGCCCUUAUGUUGUCACAACUUUUAUUGAGGGCACCUUGCUGUCCAAACAGCUUAGGGACCCUUCUGUGGGCUUAAGUGACUUGGAAAGAGCCUAUCGGGGAAUGGCCGACAUCAUGCUGGAGCUCUCGAAACCCUCCUUCCCAAGCAUUGGGGCUCUGGAAUGCGAAUCAGGGGAAUGGCGAGUGACCAAGAGGCCAAUGACUUUGAAUAUGAAUGAACUUGUGCGUGUUGGAAACCUUCCUCCGGCUAAAUUUACAAGGAAGAUUUUUCCAACAGCCGCUGAAUACUUUGAGGAACUUGCUACCCAGCAGCUUCUUCAUGUACAAUAUCAGCGCAACGAUGCCGUGGAAAAUGAACAUGAUGCUCGAAAGAGGUACAUAGCGCGCUGUCUUUUCCGAAAAAUAGCACGGGAUAUUCAAUGGGAACCAGGUCCCUUCCACCUAUGGUGUGAUGACUUUUGUCCAUCAAAUGUACUCGUCUCUGAGUCUGAUCUUACCAUUACUGGUGUUAUUGACUGGGAAUUUACUUAUGUUGCACCCACCGAAUUUACCUGCACUGCGCCAUGGUGGCUUCUGUUGGAAAGGCCAGAAGCCUGGGAGUCAGAUCUGAAUGACUUUUUGGCCAGAUACACACCAAGGCUCCAAUUUUUCCUCAAGAUCCUUCGGGCUUGUGAGGACAGGCAGUUGCGGAAUGGGACCUUGACGGAUUCACAGCGCCUAUCAGAUCGGAUGGAACGCUCUCUGGACUGUGGGCUCUUUUGGUUCUGUCUUGCUACAAGAAGGAGCUUCAUGUUUGAUGAUAUUUAUUGGACAUUUCUUGAUGAGAAGCACUUUGGUCGUCUGAACUCUCUAGAUGACAGACUCUCUCUUCUCUCUCGGGACGAGCUGGAUGGGCUGGAUGGGUUUGUUCGGAUGAAGAUGCAGCAAGUUGUAGAAAAGCGCUUGGACGAACAUCUGACCUUUG